AGUGAACGCUGGCGGUAGGCCUAACACAUGCAAGUCGAACGGCAGCACAGUAAGAGCUUGCUCUUACGGGUGGCGAGUGGCGGACGGGUGAGGAACACAUCGGAAUCUACUUUUUCGUGGGGGAUAACGUAGGGAAACUUACGCUAAUACCGCAUACGACCUACGGGUGAAAGCAGGGGAUCUUCGGACCUUGCGUGAUUGAAUGAGCCGAUGUCGGAUUAGCUAGUUGGCGGGGUAAAGGCCCACCAAGGCGACGAUCCGUAGCUGGUCUGAGAGGAUGAUCAGCCACACUGGAACUGAGACACGGUCCAGACUCCUACGGGAGGCAGCAGUGGGGAAUAUUGGACAAUGGGCGCAAGCCUGAUCCAGCCAUACCGCGUGAGUGAAGAAGGCCUUCGGGUUGUAAAGCCCUUUUGUUGGGAAAGAAAGACAGCAGGUUAAUACCCCGCUGUUCUGACGGUACCCAAAGAAUAAGCACCGGCUAACUUCGUG
rnacentral:rRNA from 1 species